GCUUCUGUAGCUCAGUUGGUAGAGCAGAGGACUGAAAAUCCUCGUGUCGCUGGUUCGAUUCCGGCCGGAAGCACCA
rnacentral:tRNA from 1 species